UAUGCGUCCUAAACAGGAAACAUAAACUCCAUAGCUCAAAAAUUUCCUUUUAACAGCCAUUAAAUGUCCCCUAAUCCUUUUAAAGCACAGCUUUGGGACAAAGGCUACCCAAUAUAAUAGUAUUUGAUCCAUCCGACUUGGGCUCAAUUUCGCAUUUAGUUAGUGCAAUGUUAUACUAAAUGGGGCCAUUGAAGUGAGCCGAAGCCAUCUAGAUCAAGUGUCGGUGUAUAGGGGGGCAAACGAGCAAACGGGUCCCCUACAAUGGGCGGCCUGUUUCUGUGCCGGCUUUUGAGGCUGGAGGAUCCUCUUUCUUUUAACAAUCAAUGGUGGUAUCUCACAAGGAUGACCGGUAUUACCGGGAGUCGAUUUCACUGUUCGCAAAAGUGCCUUGUGAAGAGGACUGUGGAAGACUUCCAGCCAUCAAGGUUACAGAACACUACCAUGUAAUGCUUUCAAGGGAAAGGUGAUAAGAUAUUUAAAGGUUUGAGAUACUUACGAUGAAUGUGACAUAAUAAAUAAUUUAAUUGCUUUUCACUAUAAUUCACAUUUACAUGCUAGUUAUUACCGCUUUAUAUGGAAAUAAAGGAGAGAUUAAAAUAAUCUAAAACAAACGACACAAUAAUUGUCUGGGGUAGAUACAUAAUUAUCUUCCUGUUUUCUAUUAUUAUCAAUAUAUAUAAUUAUAAUAAAUAAUUUUUAACCACUAUAAAAGUAGAAUAUACAGCUUAGAUUGUUAUAUAUUGAUAGAUGUUAUUUACAUGUUUCUUCAUUUCUUGUUAUCCUUAUAUCCUAGCUUCCUUCAGUACCACUGAUCGAGCGAUGACUCCUCCAGUUGUUUCCAAAUGUCUCUGGUCUGUCCGUGGUUUUCCUUCUCAAUUCGCUCUCUGCUAACGUUCCAUUACUUAUAUCCAUCUUUUUUGGGGCGCCCUCAUCUCCUUCUUUAUCUUGGAUCAUUCCAUAUUUAAAUGUAGUUAAUGGAUCAAUAUAAGACGCAGAAAUGUCAAGUGCAAUCUAAAUAUUCCAUUUUAUGAAUGAAAAAUAUUGUUUAACAAGUCACUUAAGCAUUCAUUAAGCGAUGAAGUGCACGUGCAUUGCACGCCUAAUAUCAAAUUUCAAGAUGGUCUCAAUCUAGUUUUGCGAGUCCUCUUUGGACAUUGGACUCUGUAUUUCAUUACUCUAUUGAAGUAUCACUUUAACCGUGUAACCGUUGUCACAGUUUGUCAAUAUGGCAGCGAACGGACGCACACUCUCUAUUAAUAUAGAGUAUCGUAUCACAUCAACUGAAUAUAUGUAUUAUAUCUAUGAUUAACUGUC